GAACAGCGACAGCACUGCACAGUUGCCCAGUCAGGUAACGACGCGUGGAUAAUGCGCGCGUGCGUAGAAAAGAAAAUUACUCUGUGCUCUGUGUGUGUGUGUGUGUGUGUGUACUUUGUAUUGAAGCUAAUGUUUGUCUUUGUUCGUUUUAUCGUGUGAUUUCACUUUUCCGUAAAUUUAGCGUGGAUGAUGGAUUCAUUUGUAAGCCAUCAUCAUUAGGUACACGCGUACGAUAUGAACAUUGAAUAUUCAGAGGAGAAUACUCACGUCUGUGAUCUCGAUUGGGACUCCUCUGCGUCGGCCCGUUGCCAAUGGUUUUGCUCAUGUCCGAUGAGGCUCGUCUCAGGUCAGCGUCGGCUCCGCUGCUUUGCCAAGGUAACCUGUGUUGUUUGUCACGGUUGCGGCGCGUUCGAUUGCCUCUGAGCUGCGACCUGGACUGCCGAUGCUGAUCCUCGGCCAACGAUGCCGAGAUCGUCAGCAGCAGCAGCAGGAUGAGGCGCAGCUUCAUUAGGGUUGAUGGGAGACUUUGUUCAAGGAUCGCUACAGAUACAGCGUAACAUCUAUUCCCUUUCAGAUCUUCAAAAACGAGUUUGAAUGUUAAUCUUGCAACUGCAAUCAACGAAUCAAAGGUUGAACUUGGCAGACGAAAAAAAUUAUUGGUAAAUGUAGCAAUCUUGUGCUUGGCAAAAUUAGAAUCAAGAAUAUUUUUAGAUGUUCUUAUUAUAGGUUCUUUGUAAGUAUAGCAAAACAACUAAUCGUAUAAGUUAAGCCAGGUAUUUUGGAAGGAGAACAAGAAAUAUACAGCCGAUGCGUGUUUUA